rnacentral:rRNA from 1 species
CGGAGGCUACCGCUAUUGGAGUUCGAUUAAGCCAUGCGAGUCGAGAGUCUUAGGGACUCGGCGUACCGCUCAGUAACACGUGGGUAACCUGCCCUAUGCUGGGGAAUAACCUCGGGAAACUGAGAAUAAUGCCCCAUAGUCCACCAUGCCUGGAACGGUUGGUGGAUCAAAGCUCCGGCGGCAUAGGAUGGGCCUGCGGCGUAUCAGGUCGUAGGGGGUGUAACGUACCCUCUAGCCAUCGACGCGUACGGGUGUUGGGAGACAUAGCCCGGAGAUGGAUUCUGAGACACGAAUCCAGACCCUACGGGGUGCAGCAGGCGCGAAAACUUCACACUGCAGGAAACUGUGAUGAGGGAACUCCAAGUGCUAUCACUAUGUGGUAGCUUUUCUUAACUAUUAAUCGGUUUUGGAAUAAGGGCUGGGAAAGACCGGUGCCAGCCGCCGCGGUAAUACCGGCAGCUCAAGUGGUCGUCGCUUUUAUUGGGCCUAAAACGUCCGUAGCCUGUUUGGUAAAUCUGUGGGUAAAUCAACCAGCUUAACUGGUUGAAUUCUGCAGAGACUGCCAGACUAGGGACCGGGAGAGGUGUGGGGUACUCUAGGGGUAGGGGUAAAAUCCUGUCAUCCUUAGAGGACCACCAGUUGCGAAGGCGCCACACUGGAACGGAUCCGACGGUCAGGGACGAAGCCUAGGGGCACGAACCGGAUUAGAUACCCGGGUAGUCCUAGGUGUAAACGCUGUGAACUUGGUGUCGGGGAUCCGUAAUGGGUUCUCGGUGCCGGAGUGAAGAUGUUAAGUUCACUGCCUGGGGAGUACGGUCGCAAGGCUGAAACUUAAAGGAAUUGGCGGGG